AAGUCGUAACAAGGUUUCCGUAGGUGAACCUGCGGAAGGAUCAUUAUCACGUUAUCCACGUAUCAACCAUUGUGAACUUGUCUUUUUGACCUUUGAGUUUAGUGAAGUUAGUGUUGUUGUAAACCGUUAUCAAACAAUAACUUGAUUGGAAUUGUUGAGGUUUAUAACAAUCAACAAAUUUUUUCAUUAAAAUUUGUUAACUUUGCUACUUAAAGUGUAUUUUCCAAUCAAAAAAUAAUUCAUUAACCAUUUAAACCUAAAUUUUUUAUAAAUUUUGAACUGAUUUAAUUUCUUACUCUCUCUUUUGAGAGAAGAAAUAAAUUUUUACGAAACAUAAGAACAACUCUUAGCAACGGAUAUCUUGGUUCUC
rnacentral:misc_RNA from 1 species